CAAAAGGGUAGCAGCGGAGAGUGAGAAAAAAAUUUUGAAUAUGUAAUUUUGGAAAAUACAUUGCUGAGUUGUGAGACCCUUACACCUCACAAAGAAGAAAGGGAGGAGGCAGAUGCUCAUCACCUCACAUCUGGUGGAGGGUGGUCUUUGGCAGGACCGCUCAGAUAAUUUUGGGUAAGUCCCCUGUAGAGGUCAGAAUAUUCUGGAAUUUUAGUCCACUUUGACAAAUCUGAAGUGUAAGAGACAAGCUGAUGAGCUGGACAUGGAUGAACUGGGGGCAGGGGGAUGUGCUGGAAAGGGGAGUUGGCUGUGCUGGAUAUCCUGUACUCCAAGAAUAUCUCUGUGUCAGGCGAACGUGAUAACCACUACAUUACGGAAACUGGCCUCAAGAAUAUCUCUGUGAAAAAGAUGGUUCAGUGAGUAUUUUCCUGGACAACGGUGUGUCAUGAGUAAGAGAUAGUUGGUGUGGAGCCAUUUUAGCUCAUGACCAAGAUGGCGUUCAGAGGGACGAAUGCCUUCUGCAAAAAGAAGGUACAGAAGGUAGAUGAAAAGCCAGAGGAAAAUGAGGGCAUCAUCGACAUCAGAGAACUAUAGGGAAAGAUGGCCAACAACAGUCACAAGGGUCUAAAAAUGAGAACGCUACCAGUCUUCCAGUACCUGAAGAUCUGAGGAACAACCGUAAUGACAACAGACAACUUAAAAUCUUACCUGCCUCAUGAAUUGCAAGUCUAAAACCACCAAGAAGGCUUCCUUACCUUCCUGGUCUUCCUUGAUUAUGACCACCCCGGGUUCUUGAUGCCUGUACGCGUCCAAUCAUUUCUGAGUUAUUCUGCCAUCGUACACAGACUGUGUUAUCAAUUCAA